UCCGGUAUGGUCUAGUGGCUAGGAUUCCUGGUUUUCACCCAGGCGGCCCGGGUUCGAUUCCCGGUACCGGAA
rfam:Lingula anatina scaffold872, whole genome shotgun sequence.